GGGCCCGCACAAGCGGUGGAGCAUGUGGUUUAAUUCGAUGCAACGCGAAGAACCUUACCAGGGUUUGACAUGAUACGAAUUUCUUUGAAAGAGGAAAGUGCCUUCGGGAAUGUAGAUACAGGUGGUGCAUGGCUGUCGUCAGCUCGUGUCGUGAGAUGUUGGGUUAAGUCCCGCAACGAGCGCAACCCUUAUUUUUAGUUGCUAAUUUAUUAGGUUUUCUAGAAAGACUGCCGGUGACAAACCGGAGGAAGGUGAGGAUGACGUCAAGUCAGCAUGCCCCUUAUGCCUUGGGCUACACACGUGCUACAAUGGUAUCUACAACAGGAAGCAAAACAGCGAUGUUAAGCA
rnacentral:rRNA from 1 species